UACGUAGGUGGCAAGCGUUGUCCGGAACUACUGGGUGUAAAGGGAGCGCAGGCGGGAAGCCAAGUCAGCUGUGAAAACUACGGGCUUAACUUGUAGACUGCAGUUGAAACUGGUUCUCUUGAGUGAAGUAGAGGUUGGCGGAAUUCCGAGUGUAGCGGUGAAAUGCGUAGAUAUUCGGAGGAACACCGGUGGCGAAGGCGGCCAACUGGGCUUUAACUGACGCUGAGGCUCGAAAGUGUGGGGAGCAAACAGG
rnacentral:rRNA from 1 species